rnacentral:rRNA from 1 species
UACGUAGGGUGCGAGCGUUGUCCGGAAUUAUUGGGCGUAAAGAGCUCGUAGGCGGUUUGUCGCGUCGGAAGUGAAAUCCCUCGGCUCAACCAAGGAAGUGCUUUCGAAACUGCUGAGCUUGAGUACUUAAGAGGAUCGCGGAAUUCCCGGUGUAGAGGUGAAAUUCGUAGAUAUCGGGAGGAACACCAGUGGCGAAGGCGGCGAUCUGGGAAGAUACUGACGCUGAGGUGCGAAAGCGUGGGGAGCAAACAGG